GUCUAGUCGCUUCAAAGUCUCCAAACACAGAGCUUGUCCUAAUCCGCCACCUUUCUUCUCAUCCCACACCGAGCUGAUUAAUUCAUUCUUUCUUUUCUAAUCUCACAUCAGCUAAUGUGUUGCAGUCUCCAUCAGCAUAGGGGUGUGUUGUUGUGCGCAUUGAAGGUCAAGUCCCUGCCUCUAAUUAAUUGCUUUUUGAAUGCUCACAUCGCAUAUUCAACUGGGUGUCUUUCUGGAAGGCUCUGUGGGGUUGUUGUCAAUUAUUUCAUUGUUUUGGAGGCGUCGUCUUCAUUAGGGAACCACGGUGCGUCUGCCGGACGAGGUGGGAGCUGAUACUUCAUUGGCACUGGAGUGCUUGGCCAUCGGGGGAAAUCUACGGCAAUACUCACCUAGAUGAGCGGAAAUUGGUGCAAAUCUUCACUAGAAGAUUAAUGGCAUCAAGGAGGAGCUCAAGCAGAGAGUUUGCAAGUUCUUGAGGACUUUUUAAUUCUUUCACUCUGUUUUCUUAAUUCUCGCCAGUUUAAUUACCUCAUUUCUUUCUCUCCUGACAACAUGCACAUGUUUUCUUCUCAUUUAUCUUUUGCAGCCUCUCUUUUAAUUGAUAUAUUUAGUAUUACUUCAUUAUUUGAGUGCCGUUUUUACACAGAGGAGCUAUUUAUACCUUGUACUUAACUUGUUGUUCUUUAAAUCCGGCUGUAUUUGCUAUUCGAUAGACUCUUUUGGCUGGGACACUAACCAGCUUGACUUCUCCAAAACAUUUUAUGGACUUUAUACAGGCCAAUUUACUGUGCUGCUCGGCCCAUUGUUGUAAGAGAGUGUGAUGCUUGUCUUACCCUGAAUGAGAUAAUGUUAGCUCUCCUGUGAAUGGGCUGAAUUCCUCCACUGCUCUUUGUGUUCAGGUGAUUAAAUUCCAGGGAAUUUGGGGGGCAUCAUUGUCGUCACUGGUGCAUAGCAAGCAGACAAACCUUUUUGCAUGUUAAUCUCAGAGCUCCGCUUUUGUGUACAAAGGCACAAUCUGAAUUGGCAUAAAUACAAAAAAGACACAGAGAUCGUUUUACCAGCACUUAAGGGAGAGGUAUGAACGCUGUAACUGAAUUUAACACAAAGCCUGGUAAUUUGCUAGAGUUAUCAGAUUUCAUAUUCAAGAUCGCAUGAGUGUUUGGAUAAAGAUGUGAAGAUGA